rfam:Zea mays cultivar B73 chromosome 10, whole genome shotgun sequence.
GCUGAGCAAGUAGCGAUUGCUUGUAACCCGAGCGGGGGCAAUAAGGUAGUGUGGAUGUCAAUUGUGGUGCAUGUGCCUGGGUCUAGUGCUACAAACUGUGGACCACCCAUUCCAAGUUGUGUAGUGGGUUUCGGAUGCCUUGGCGAAAGCCUUUGCAUCCCAACACCUAAAGUGGCGGACAUUGCGUGAGGCUGGCUUCACAGAGCAGCGAGUACCGCCCGCCACCAGCGGUGGAAGGAUAAUGAGUCGCUAUGCUAUAGGCCAAUUGAGGCACAUGUGCCCUCUCUGGUAGACCACUAUCUUU